UACGAAGGGGGCUAGCGUUGCUCGGAAUCACUGGGCGUAAAGGGUGCGUAGGCGGGUCUUUAAGUCAGGGGUGAAAUCCUGGAGCUCAACUCCAGAACUGCCUUUGAUACUGGGGAUCUCGAGUCCGGGAGAGGUGAGUGGAACUGCGAGUGUAGAGGUGAAAUUCGUAGAUAUUCGCAAGAACACCAGUGGCGAAGGCGGCUUACUGGUCCGGUUCUGACGCUGAGGCGCGAAAGCGUGGGGAGCAAACAGG
rnacentral:rRNA from 1 species